CGUUGUCCGGAUUUAUUGGGCGUAAAGAGCGUGUAGGCGGCUGGGUAGGUCUGCUGUGAAAACUCGAGGCUCAACCUCGAGACGUCGGCGGAAACCCUCCAGCUAGAGUCCGGAAGAGGAGAAUGGAAUUCCUGGUGUAGCGGUGAAAUGCGCAGAUAUCAGGAAGAACACCCGUGGCGAAGGCGGUUCUCUGGGACGGUACUGACGCUGAGACGCGAAAGCGUGGGGAGCGAACAGG
rnacentral:rRNA from 1 species